AUGUCUUCUACUUCGACCAUUUCCAAUUUGCAAGAUAUCGGGAAGCAAACAUCGCCCCAGUAUUCCUCUGGGUCACCCACUUGCUACCCUCAUGAGUCAGUGACACAGGAGACCACUGAUGCGCAACCAUUUCCUGCUGCGGUCCAUCAUCCGUGUGCAGACACGUUUUCAACCUCCGAGGAAGAGAAGGAGGAGAAGACAAUGGAGAAAAACGAUGGUGUGUUGACUGAAGAGGAAGUUUCCAGCUGUUUAUCCAACCUGGGACACUCUGCCACUGGACUAGAGCAUGUCUACCAGUUCCUCUCUGCUCCUGGUCGAAAUCUGAAUAAUGUAUCCAUCCUUUGCAAUUACGUCCACCUUCAAAAGCUAGAACUUCCUUACAACAAAAUAAAAGGUGUGUGUGUGUCUCAUAUUAACAAAUGCACUGUACGCCUUGUUAUGAUUCUAAUUACUGAUAUAGAAAAUGUAGCUUGA
rnacentral:lncRNA from 13 species